AACGAACGCUGGCGGCAGGCCUAACACAUGCAAGUCGAACGCUCUAGCAAUAGAGAGUGGCAGACGGGUGAGUAACGCGUGGGAACCUUCCCUAUGGUGUGGAAUAACUCGCCGAAAGGCGAGCUAAUACCGCAUAAGCCCGCAAGGGGAAAGAUUUAUCGCCAUAGGAUGGGCCCGCGUAGGAUUAGCUAGUUGGUGAGGUAAUGGCUCACCAAGGCGACGAUCCUUAGCUGGUUUGAGAGAAUGACCAGCCACACUGGGACUGAGACACGGCCCAGACUCCUACGGGAGGCAGCAGUGGGGAAUCUUGGACAAUGGGCGCAAGCCUGAUCCAGCCAUGCCGCGUGAGUGACGAAGGCCUUAGGGUUGUAAAGCUCUUUUGGCGGGGACGAUAAUGACGGUACCCGCAGAAUAAGCCCCGGCUAACUUCGUGCCAGCAGCCGCUGUAAU
rnacentral:rRNA from 1 species